rnacentral:rRNA from 1 species
UACGUAGGGGGCAAGCGUUGUUCGGAAUCACUGGGCGUAAAGCGCACGUAGGCGGAUGUGUCAGUCAGGGGUGAAAUCCCGGAGCUCAACUUCGGAACUGCCCUUGAUACAGCACGUCUCGAGUCCGAGAGAGGUGAGUGGAAUUCCUAGUGUAGAGGUGAAAUUCGUAGAUAUUAGGAAGAACACCAGUGGCGAAGGCGGCUCACUGGCUCGGUACUGACGCUGAGGUGCGAAAGCGUGGGGAGCAAACAGG